rnacentral:rRNA from 1 species
CCUACGGGAGGCAGCAGUGAGGAAUAUUGGUCAAUGGGCGGAAGCCUGAACCAGCCAAGUAGCGUGCAGGAUGACGGCCCUACGGGUUGUAAACUGCUUUUAUACGGGAAUAACGCGUCUUACGUGUAGGGUUUUGCAUGUACCGUAUGAAUAAGGAUCGGCUAAUUCCGUGCCAGCAGCCGCGGUAAUACGGAAGGUCCGGGCGUUAUCCGGAUUUAUUGGGUUUAAAGGGAGCGCAGGCGGCAUGUUAAGUGAGCUGUGAAAUGUCCGGGCUCAACCCGGGCCUUGCAGCGCAAACUGGCGUGCUUGAGUCCGCGAAAAGCAGGCGGAAUUCGUGGUGUAGCGGUGAAAUGCUUAGAUAUGGCGAAGAACCCCGAUUGCGAAGGCAGCUUGCUGCAGCGAAACUGACGCUGAGGCUCGAAAGCGUGGGUAUCGAACAGGAUUAGAUACCCUAGUAGUC